rnacentral:rRNA from 1 species
CGGCAGGCUUAAUACAUGCAAGUCGAGGGGCAGCACGGGUAGCAAUACCUGGUGGCGACCGGCGCAAGGGUGCGUAACGCGUGAGCAACAUGCCCUAUACAGGGGGAUAAUCCAGGGAAACUUGGUCUAAUAUCCCAUAGUAUUUAGAGGAGGCAUCUUCUAUAAAUUAAAGCUUCGGUGGUAUAGGAUUGGCUCGCGUGACAUUAGCUAGAUGGUGAGGUAACGGCUCACCAUGGCAAUGAUGUCUAGGGGUUCUGAGAGGAAGGCCCCCCACACUGGGACUGAGACACGGCCCAGACUCCUACGGGAGGCAGCAGUGAGGAAUAUUGGACAAUGGAUGGAAAUCUGAUCCAGCCAUGCCGCGUGCAGGAAGACAGCCCUAUGGGUUGUAAACUGCUUUUAUAUGGGAGCAAUAAGGUCUACGUGUAGACUGAUGAGAGUACCAUAUGAAUAAGCAUCGGCUAACUCCGUG